rnacentral:antisense_RNA from 1 species
CUUCAGCGACCCCAACCACAGCGGCUCGUCCCGGUCUUGCCCGUAGGUCGCCAGCAGUGCCUGCGCCUC